rnacentral:hammerhead_ribozyme from 1 species
AUCCAGCUGAUGAGUCCCAAAUAGGACGAGGCGGGAGUCCUGGAC